rnacentral:lncRNA from 1 species
GCACGGUGGAACACACCUGUAAUCUAGCACUCAGACUGAGGCAGAAUUGCAAGUUACAGCGCAGCCUGGGCAAUUUGUGGUGGUACCAGUUUACACUCCUACCAACAGUGAAGAAGAGUUCCUUUUUCUCCAAGGCUUCUCCAGCAUUUGAUAAACACUACUGACAUUACUAAAUAUCUUAAUGCACACGACAAGAUUGCUUCAAUGAAAACAGAAGUGUGAGAACUGCAUGAAGAGUUGAUCACAGGACUAUGAGUCAUCAUGCCAGGGCCUUUAGGUUAUAAAAAUUACAGCAUGGAUAAAGAAUAUUAAUCAUCAGCUACCUUUCUUCAACCAAAAACUCCUGGAAUAUCUUUAAUGCUUCAGAGAUGAGCAGCAGACAAUUUAAAAGAAAGGAUAAAGGAUGCAACCGAGCUGUUUCUAUGUGACUCGAGUCUUGAAAGAUUGUAUUGUGGCACAAUAAAAAUGUCCUUGCAGGCUGUAGAGGUAGAAAAUUGGGUUAACCUAUCUUUAAUACAGAAACUAAUUUUCAGUAAUACCCACAUUUUUAGUCUUGUGUUUUCUUUUUCUUUUUUUUUUUUUUUUUGGUGCCAGGAUCAAACUCGGGACCUUGCGUUUUGUGAGGCAGAUGCUGAACCACUGAGCUAAAUCUCCUGCCCUAGUCUUGUGUUUUCUUAUUUAUUUAAUGUUCAGGGCUGCUGUGGAUUGUAUUCAGGGCCUCAGGCAAGCUAAGCACACACCAAAGCACUGAGCUAUACCACCAGCCCCUCCCCUCUUUUUUUUGUACCGGGAUCGAAGUCGGAACCUUGCGCUGCCUAGGCAGGCACCUGAACCACUGAGCUAAAUCCCCACCCCCGCUCCUUUUGCUUUUUUGAGAAAAGGUCUGGCUAUACAGUUCAGGCUGUCCUUGAACUCACUGCAGUUCUCCUGCCUCAUCCACCCAAGUGCUGAGAUGAUAGGCAUGCACCACGCCACCUGGCUUCUCUUAACCUUUUGAUGUAGCUUUGGCAGAUAGAAUCAUGCUUGAAGCUAGAGGCUGCCAGCUUUCAACUAGUAGUUGCUAGUGAAACUUUGGUACAGUGAGGAUAAGAUGUUGUUGGCAUAGUGUAAUGUAAAAUAAAACAGUAAAACAUAGUCUGGUUUUUUGUUUUUGUUUUUUUUUAGACAAGAGUCUCACUCUGUAGUCUAGGCUGGCCUGGAAGUUGUUAAGUAGUUCAAACUGGUCUCAAACUCAAGCUCCUCCUGCCUCAGCUUCCCCAACUGCUGGGAAUAUAGGUAUACAGUCUUAAAAUGUUGGAAACAGCACCAUGCCUGCCUCAUAAGCACAAGGUCAUGAGUUUGAUCCCCAGUGCCAGAAAAAAAAAAAAAGUUGGAAACUGGGCAUGGUGGUGUACACCUGUAAUCUCAGGACUCUGGGAGGCUGAGGCAGG